rnacentral:rRNA from 1 species
UACGUAGGGGGCAAGCGUUAUCCGGAUUUACUGGGUGUAAAGGGAGCGCAGACGGUAUGGCAAGUCUGAUGUGAAAUGCGGGGGCUCAACUCCCGAGCUGCAUUGGAAACUGUCGAACUAGAGUGCCGGAGGGGUAAGCGGAAUUCCUAGUGUAGCGGUGAAAUGCGUAGAUAUUAGGAGGAACACCAGUGGCGAAGGCGGCUUACUGGACGGUAACUGACGUUGAGGCUCGAAAGCGUGGGGAG